CCUACGGGGGACAGCAGUGAGGAAUAUUGGUCAAUGGGCGGGAGCCUGAACCAGCCAAGCCGCGUGAGGGAAGACGGUCCUAUGGAUUGUAAACCUCUUUAGGCGGGGAGCAAUGCCGGGCACGCGUGCCCGGAGGGAGAGUACCCGCAGAAUAAGCUCCGGCUAACCCCGUGCCAGCAGCCGCGGUAAUACGGAGGAUGCGAGCGUUAUCCGGAUUUAUGGGGUUUAAAGGGUGCGUAGGCGGAGUUUUAAGUCAGCGGUAAAAUGUCCGGGCUCAACCCGGGCCGGCCGUUGAAACUGGGGAUCUUGAGUGGGCGAGAAGUAUGCGGAAUGCGUGGUGUAGCGGUGAAAUGCAUAGAUAUCACGCAGAACUCCGAUUGCGAAGGCAGCAUACCGGCGCCCGACUGACGCUGAGGCACGAAAGCGUGGGGAUCGAACAGGAUUAGAUACCCUUGUAGUC
rnacentral:rRNA from 1 species